GCCACCCUAGCUCAAUGGCAGAGCGCCCGCUUUGUAAGCGGAUGGUUAUCGGUUCAAGUCCGAUGGGUGGCU
rnacentral:tRNA from 1 species